rnacentral:rRNA from 1 species
UACGGGGGGGGCGAGCGUUGUUCGGAAUUACUGGGCGUAAAGGGCGCGUAGGCGGUUCGCUAAGUUGGAUGUGAAAACUCUGGGCUCAACCCAGAGCCUGCAUCCAAAACUGGCGGGCUAGAGUUCUGGAGGGGGUAGCGGAAUUCCUGGUGUAGCGGUGAAAUGCGUAGAUAUCAGGAGGAACACCGGUGGCGAAGGCGGCUACCUGGACAGAAACUGACGCUGAGGCGCGAAAGCUAGGGGAGCAAACGGG